rnacentral:rRNA from 1 species
AUGCACGCUUGCGGCGUGCCUCAUACAUGCCAGUCGAGCGAACAGACGAGGAGCUUGCUCCUCUGACGUUAGCGGCGGACGGGUGAGUAACACGUGGAUAACCUACCUAUAAGACUGGGAUAACUUCGGGAAACCGGAGCUAAUACCGGAUAAUAUAUUGAACCGCAUGGUUCAAUAGUGAAAGACGGUUUUGCUGUCACUUAUAGAUGGAUCCGCGCCGCAUUAGCUAGUUGGUAAGGUAACGGCUUACCAAGGCAACGAUGCGUAGCCGACCUGAGAGGGUGAUCGGCCACACUGGAACUGAGACACGGUCCAGACUCCUACGGGAGGCAGCAGUAGGGAAUCUUCCGCAAUGGGCGAAAGCCUGACGGAGCAACGCCGCGUGAGUGAUGAAGGUCUUCGGAUCGUAAAACUCUGUUAUUAGGGAAGAACAAAUGUGUAAGUAACUAUGCACGUCUUGACGGUACCUAAUCAGAAAGCCACGGCUAACUACGUG